rnacentral:lncRNA from 1 species
AAAAAAAAAAAAAAUACAGUACCCCGGCCCAGACCUCGUGAUGUAACCUACAGCGGCGGCCGAGGUGCGGGGUCUUGGUCGGUUUCGUGCCGGCGGGAGGGCGAAGGGUGGGCGGGGCCUCGGUUCCCAAAUUUGCCCCAGAGCGCGGUUGACAGGGUGCAGCCGGGAGAGGCCGCGCUGGGACGGAGAUAUAGUGGAAACGUUCCUGGAUGUUCAGGGCGCGCCGUCCCACCGGCUGCUGGCCAGAGCCCCGGGAAGGCGAGGAUGCACCUUCUCCCCUGCCUUGGAAAGAAGUCCACUAGCCACCCGGACCUGCAGGGACCCACUCGCCGGCCUAGGCACUGGAAGGAAUCCCAAGUGCCUUGGCAUAAGGAGGACUUAAGGACAGGAGAAGGGAGCUCACCGUGCCCGCAGUGCGAGUCCCUCUCUGGACCUCAUGGGAACAUUGGAGAGGAGAUUCAGAUUAUCACCUAGUUUGUUCCAGAC